CCAUGCCGCGUGCAGGAAGACUGCCCUAUGGGUUGUAAACUGCUUUUGUACGGGAAGAAACACCCCCUCGUGAGGGGGCUUGACGGUACCGUAAGAAUAAGGAUCGGCUAACUCCGUGCCAGCAGCCGCGGUAAUACGGAGGAUCCAAGCGUUAUCCGGAAUCAUUGGGUUUAAAGGGUCCGUAGGUGGGCCGUUAAGUCAGAGGUGAAAUCCUGCAGCUCAACUGUAGAAUUGCCUUUGAUACUGGCGGUCUUGAAUCAUUGUGAAGUGGUUAGAAUAUGUGGUGUAGCGGUGAAAGGCAUAGAUAUCACAUAGAAUACCGAUUGCGAAGGCAGAUCACUAACAAUGCAUUGACACUGAUGGACGAAAGCGUGGGGAGCGAACAGGAUUAGAUACCCUGGUAGUCCACGCCGUAACGAUGGAUNUACUGUCCGGUCUUCGGACUGGGUGGCUAAGCGAA
rnacentral:rRNA from 1 species